CCUACGGGAGGCUGCAGUGAGGAAUAUUGGUCAAUGGGCGCGAGCCUGAACCAGCCAAGUAGCGUGAAGGAUGACUGCCCUACGGGUUGUAAACUUCUUUUAUAAAGGAAUAAAGUGAGGCACGUGUGCCUUUUUGUAUGUCCUUUAUGAAUAAGGAUCGGCUAACUCCGUGCCAGCAGCCGCGGUAAUACGGAGGAUCCGAGCGUUAUCCGGAUUUAUUGGGUUUAAAGGGAGCGUAGAUGGGUUGUUAAGUCAGUUGUGAAAGGUUGGGGCUCAACCGUAAAAGUGCAAUUGAUACUGGCAGCCUUGAGUACAGGUGAGGUAGGCGGAAUGCGUGGUGUAGCGGUGAAAUGCUUAGAUAUCACGAAGAACUCCGAUUGCGAAGGCAGCCUACUAGACUGCCACUGACGUUGAGGCUCGAAAGUGUGGGUAUCAAACAGGAUUAGAUACCCCAGUAGUC
rnacentral:rRNA from 1 species